rnacentral:rRNA from 1 species
UACGUAGGGACCGAGCGUUGUCCGGAAUCAUUGGGCGUAAAGAGCGUGUAGGCGGCCACUUAAGUCCUGCGUGAAAUCUUGCGGCUCAACCGCAAGCGGUCGUGGGAAACUGGGUGGCUAGAGUGCGGGAGAGGAGACUGGAAUUCCUGGUGUAGCGGUGGAAUGCGCAGAUAUCAGGAAGAACACCCGUGGCUAAGGCGGCUCUCUAGUACGGUACUGACGCUGAGACGCGAAAGCGUGGGGAGCGAACAGG